rnacentral:snRNA from 1 species
GGGUGACCUGGCUGCAAUUUCUGCUACCCUGUUCAUCACCAGGGUUGAUUUCACUGAUCCUGCUGGCCAGAUGGGUGUCCUCUUCCCUGUCUCUGCUCCACGUGCAUCCUCCAGAAGCUGCGUGCUUGAUGGCAGAGGCUGCCCUUCCCCGAUACAGAAUGACCACUCUUCGAGGUCAAGGGUAUAUGAGUAGCUACACUUCUCUACUAGAACCUCCAAACGGGUUCUCAAGGUAACUUAAAAAUGCUAUGUAUGAUUUUUUUUAGAAUAAUAUGUUUACAGUUGUACUGAAU